rnacentral:rRNA from 1 species
CGCAAACUUUUUUUUCGAUAUGAACUCUAAAAAAAAAUAACGCUGUUAUCCCUAAGGUAAUUUAAUCUUAUAAUCACAAAAUGUGGAUCACUUACUCAUAUAUCAAUGGUUUAAUUAUAAAAAAAGUUUAUUCAAUUUUUUAGUUGCCCCAACCAAAUAUGUCUAUAAAUACUUAAACCUAAAAUUCUUACACUUUUAAAUAUCUAUAUAAAUAUAAAAUUCUAUAGGGUCUUCUCGUCUUUUAAAGUUAUUUAAGCUUUUUUACUUAAAAAUAAAAUUCUAAUUUAAAUUAAAUUGAGACAGUCUUUCCCUCGUCAAACCUUUCAUACCAGUUCUCAAUUAAAAAACUAAUUAUUAUGCUACCUUUGCACAGUCAAAGUACUGCGGCCAUUUAAAAAUUCAUAGGGCAGGUCAGACUUUAUAUUAUGAUCAAAAAGACAU